GAUGAACGCUGGCGGCGUGCAUAAUACAUGCAAGUUGAGCGAAGCGGGGACGGGUGAGUAACACGUUGAUAACCUGCUAUAAGAUUGGGAUAACUUCGGGAAACCGGAGCUAAACCGGAUAAUUACAGAAGGAGCCGCGCGGCAUUAGCUAGGUGGUAAGGUAACGGCUUACCAAGGCACCGAUGCAUAGCCGACCUGAGAGGGGGAUCGGCCACACUGGAACUGAGACACGGUCCAGGCUCCUACGAGCGGCAGCAGUAGGGAAUCUUGCGCAAUGGGCGAAAGCCUGACGGCGCAACGCCGCGUGAGUGCUGAAGGUCUUCAGAUCGUAAAACUCUGUUAUUAGGGAAGCGGUACCGGAUUAGACAGCCACGGCUAACUACGUGCCAGCAGCCGCGGUAAUUC
rnacentral:rRNA from 1 species